rnacentral:rRNA from 1 species
AGUGAACGCUGGCGGUAGGCCUAACACAUGCCAGUCGAACGGCAGCACAGUAAGAGCUUGCUCUUACGGGUGGCGAGUGGCGGACGGGUGAGGAAUACAUCAGAAUCUACUUUUUCGUGGGGGAUAACGUAGGGAAACUUACGCUAAUACCGCAUACGACCUACGGGUGAAAGCAGUGGAUCUUCGGACCUUGCGCGAUUCAAUGAGCCGAUGUCGGAUUAGCUAGUGGGCGGGGUAAAGGCCCACCAAGGCGACGAUCCGUAGCUGGUCUGAGGGGAUGAUCAGCCACACUGGACCUGAGACACGGUCCAGACCCCUACGGGAGGCAGCGGAGGGGAAUUUUGGACAAUGGGCGCAAGCCUGAUCCAGCCAUACCGGGUGGGUGAAGAAGGCCUUCGGGUUGUAAACCCCUUUUGUUGGGAAAGAAAAGCAGCAGGUUAACACCCCGCUGUUCUGACGGUACCCAAAGAAUAAGCACCGGCUAACUUCGU